GAGCGAAGCGUAUUAGCGGAAGUUUUCGGAUGGAAGCGGAUAUGACUUAGCGGCGGACGGGUGAGUAACGCGUGGAUAACCUGCCUCAUACAGGGGGAUAACAGUUAGAAAUGACUGCUAAUACCGCAUAAGCGCACAGGACCGCAUGGUCCGGUGUGAAAAACUCCGGUGGUAUGAGAUGGAUCCGCGUCUGAUUAGCUGGUUGGUGAGGUAACGGCCCACCAAGGCGACGAUCAGUAGCCGACCUGAGAGGGUGGCCGGCCACAUUGGGACUGAGACACGGCCCAAACUCCUACGGGAGGCAGCAGUGGGGAAUAUUGCACAAUGGGGGAAACCCUGAUGCAGCAACGCCGCGUGAGUGAAGAAGUAUUUCGGUAUGUAAAGCUCUAUCAGCAGGGAAGAAGAAAGACGGUACCUGACUAAGAAGCCCCGGCUAACUACGUGCCAGCAGCCGCGGUAAUACGUAGGGGGCAAGCGUUAUCCGGAUUUACUGGGUGUAAAGGGAGCGUAGACGGCUGUGCAAGUCUGAAGUGAAAGCCCGUGGCUCAACCGCGGAACUGCUUUGGAAACUGUAUAGCUUGAGUACUGGAGAGGCAGGCGGAAUUCCUAGUGUAGCGGUGAAAUGCGUA
rnacentral:rRNA from 1 species